GCGAGAACCCUGUGCCGGAACCCAUCUGGAGAGAGGGAGCUCUCGCGAGGACCGCCGGUAGUUGUAGUUUGAGGCUGAGGAGAGACUAUAGAGGAGUCUACAAGGCUGAGCGGAGACUACGAAGGCGGAGAGACUACAAGUCCCAGGGGGAGAGGCGCGACCGCCUGGAGGGCGGGGGGUACGAAAGAGGAACGCGAAGGGCGCCGGGAUCCCAUGUGAAAAUGAAAAGUCAAGCCGCAGAUGGGAGAAAAUACUUGCAAUAUACUUACAUCUGAAAUACACAUAUCUGACAAAGAGCGUGUGAAGAGCUAUUAUGACUCAGUGAUAGAAGGACAGCCAGUUAAACAAAAUGGACGAAUGAUCGAAGAAGACAUAUGAGGGCCCAGGACCAGGGAUCUGCGGCUUCUUAGCAACCCCACCCUGCCCCCUGAGCACUGGGCGACAGGCUCUGGAUGUCUGCAGCUCCCAUCCCAGAAGGCCAGACCCUGCGCUCUGGGACAUGGAGCUCCAGCGCGCUGUCCUUCUGGCGGGUCUCCUGGUGGAAGUUGCUAGCAAAUCCUCAGAAAGUGUGGGCCAGCAGCCUGAAUGUUGUGUGGACUUGGUGGAUGUCAACACCACCUGCCAGAGCACAAGCCCGUGUGGCCCAGGCUGCUACAGGCACCGGAACGAAGACGGCAGUAUCAGCUGCGUCCGAUGCAGAAAUGGCACCUACCACGGCUCCGAAUGCAGAGGCCGCACGUCGCUGCCCGGCCGCCCCGCGGCACCCCCCACCGGGCCCGCCUGGCCUGCUUCCCGCCGAGGGGCCUCAUCUCCAAGUUCUGGAGGAACGGCCACUGGCUGGGGCACGCACUUCCCGGUGAACAGGAGCACAGGGACACCGGGGCGGCCUGAUUUCGGGGGCCCUCAAGUGGCAGCCUCUCUCUUCCUGGGGACAUUCUUCAUCAGCUCUGGCCUCAUCCUCUCCGUGGCUGGGUUCUUCUAUCUGAAGCGAACCAGUAAACUCCCCAAGGUCUUCUACGGAAGAAACAAAGCCCCUGCCCUGCAGCCUGGCGAAGCUGCUGCUAUGAUUCCCCCGCCACAGUCCUCAGCACCCUGGGGCCGUCAUAACAAAUGCCCGCGAACUGCAGCUGCGGGGCUCGAAGCAACAGAAACGCACUCCGUCCCAGCUCAGGAGGCCAGAGUGCGGAAGCCGCGCUAUGUCAGACGCGAGCGGCCUUUGGACAGGGACACAGGCCCCACUGCCAUCUCCUCGGUGGAGGCCCGGGUCAGCAACGUCUGACCCGGGGACCCACCCACAACUCUGCACACCGCCGCGGAGAGAGCCCAGCACACAGAGGGCAGGUCUGGACACGGCCCCUGGCUCAGCUUGACCGUCUCCCAGCGACAGAUGCUCAGUUGGAACCCGCCCAGCUGCUGGAAGCACUAGGAGAAUCACUGAAAGCUGGAAGAGGUCAGAGGCCAGCAAGAGGAAGCUCUCCAGCAGCAUUAGGAGGUGGGUGCACAGAGCAGGAUCGAGUGGGGCGCAAGGAGGUAAUGUGAGUGCAGAGGUCCUGGCCAGGAGCCUGGGCACAAGACCCCAGAAGGAGUUGGCCGCAGCAUGAUGGGGGAGGGCUGGCCGAUUGACCUUAGGGGACCCGGUUCUCCAUGCUGGGCAUGAGAGGGACAGGACUGGCUGAGUCCACCGGACAUCCUGGCAGGGUUUCCUCAUGCCCACAGGGCAGUGCUGAGCCCAUCCAGAGCCCAGGGCCCGUUCUCUGCCCAUGUCAGAAUCGCAGCCCGGAUGUGUCCCAGAGUCUCUCCCGUAUCACUGUCCCUAGCUGGCAGGGAUGGGGCAGCAGAGCAGUUGACAGAUCAGCCAACACUGGGCAGGCAGGGUUGGGGGCUCAGCCCUCACACCCCCAGGCCACCUGGGCCCCAGAUGAGUCCUGAAGGGCCUCUUCGUGCAGCGGCCAUUGUGUGUGUGUCCUUGACAGCACUUGGGGUUUGAAGCCUGUUCUGUCCCAGUCCUGGGGGGGGGCCCAUAGCCAAGGUGGCCCUUGGGGUACAGUCCUCCCUGCUCAUCUGGCCAAGGACAACGUCUGUGUCCAGCCCAGAACUCCUAGGUGUCUGGGGAACCCCACAUCUCAAAAGCCACAGAUGGACAGGGGUGAGGUGCUCAUUAGGGACCUUGUCUUCUCAGCACAGCGAGUCCCAGGCCUGUGGGGUCACACACUGAAAGCCAUGCUCCCUGCACACGUGUGUGUGUGUGUGUGUGUGUGUGUGCACCUGCACCCGAGGGACACAUUUGUGCUCAAACACAGCCAGGUUGGCCUGUUGGCACACAUAUACCCCCUUAUACAGAGAGCGCGUGUGGCCCCACAUCCAUGCAGCACAGCUGCCCAUCGCUGGGUGGAGUAUGAGCAGGGGUGUGGGUACCAGCUGGGUCAGCCAGGUCCUGAGCUGCCGAGAUCCCAGUGCCAGGGUCUGGACCCUGCUCCUGUGCAGUCAGGCCUGGCCACCGCCCCAGAUGGCACAUUCCUCGGGUCUUCCCUUUGCCUCUGGGCACUGACUUGUCCACUGAGGAGCUCAAGUGAUCUCAGAGCUUGAAUAUUCCCAGAAGCCCUCAGGAGGGUGUUCUCAGAGCAGAGAGACAGAGGGCACUUCCUGGAGGCAGCAUGUGGCCCUGAGUCACGGUCCCCUUGGGAACCAGCACCCUGUCACGCAGACGCUGGGCCAGGCCCACACAGUAGCUCCCCACAUUGAGCCCCCAGCCCUCUGAAUUUCCACCCCCUCUCUGGGUCCCUUCCCCCUGGCUGAGCUCCCCCUCCCCUGGCCAGCCAGCACACCUCUGUGAACCAGCAGGGUCUCUGGUUUCCCACUGUCAGAGCAGCUGCGACAUGGCUGUGAGGGGCACAAGCCGUACCACUGGCUGGGCCUCAGCCCCCCACGUCCACCCAGGCCCCCAGGCCCCCAGGCCCUCCAUUCAGCCCCCCUGCCUUAGCCCCAGGCCUUUGCAUAGGCUGGCCCUGGGGUCUGCGAGGACCCCACACUGGCUGAAGCCAUUACCCCUCCCCCCAGGAAGAUCUCCAGGCCUCCUGGCUGUGUCCGGGCUUCCUUGUGCUCCAAUAUCCCUGCCCUUGUGUGUAACUGAGGGUGUCCCCAGCAGACACUCACCCAAAACAAGUCCUAUGGCCAGUCUGAUCCCUCACUUGUCCUCGCCCUGACUCCACCCCUGGGGGUGCCCAGCCCUGACCUCUCGCCCCACUCUCUGGACCCAGAGCAGGAAGUUCCCUCGUGGGUGUGUACGUUGGGGUGGCACACGCAUAUAAGUGGGCAGUGUGGAUGAGGUGGGGGGUGACGAGCGAGGCUGAGAUUGAGGGUGGGGGGCUCCUCGGAGAGGCCCUCCUGGGAGGCCCACCUAGUAGCUCGGGUGCACCAGGGCCUUAAACAGGGUUAGUGAGUGGAUCGGUUUCUGGACCGGCUCCUCCAGUAUCCCAGGGCUGCUGCGGGGGGAGGUUUUACCCAGGCAUCCGGCCCGACCAUGGAGACCUACGCUGACCCCCAGCCUCACCCCAGACUCUGAUCUCUCACCUCUGACUUCCUGCCCGCCGCUGCCCAGCCUGCCAGGGUGAGGACAGGAGGCCAGCCAAUCCCGGAGGCCCCAGGCCACGCCCCUGGCCUGCAUGACCUCGAGUGUAUAAAUACACCUGCCAGGAGUCCACACCCAGAGAACUCACACCUGCUCAGAUGGUGCUCUGCAUCUGGAAGAGCACACACGCUCCCCCGAGCCCCACCUGCCUGGGAUAGAGAAGAGGGCACGCUUGCCAGACCGGUGCCACCAGGACAGCUGCUGGCAGCCUCUUCUGUAGGGG